GGUGACAUGGCUCAGCGGCAGAGUGUUUGCCUAGCAUGCAGGAGGCCCUGGGUUCCAUCCUCAGCACCA
rnacentral:tRNA from 1 species